GUCCCUGACGACGACCACGAUGCGGUUCCUUGCUUUCGUCCUCCUCCUGGCUCUCGCCGUCGCCUUCGUCGGCGCUAAAUCCUUGGCCUGCUGCGGCGGCGGAGGUAACGGAGGUCAUCAUGGAGGUCAUGGUGGCGGAGGCAUCGGUGGAGGCUUCGGGGGCGGUGGAGGAUUGGGAGGUGGAGGAGGCUUUGGCGGUGGUUUCGGAGGAUAAAACUGAAGGACGUCAAGAAAGCCCGACCAUAGUGCAUCUUCGACCAACCGUAUUUUUCUCUUUAGGCCAAUCUCCUUUUGAGUGAGAGGUGUUAUUGGAAAUAAAAAUAUAGAUAAA